ensembl:lncRNA
GUGUGGAGGGCAGAGCCAGGGAGGAGUGAGCACGUCUUGGGACCUGACAGUCAGGCGGCUGGCACCGCCAUCACCGCUAUCGCUGCUCCUGGUGCUGGUGCUGCUGUCCGGAGCCUUGGGCUCUGCGUCCUGAAGAGCUCUUUCCUUAAGGGGAAUCGUGGGGAGACCGGCUGCCGCGGGAGGGCGACGAUGAAAGCUCUGCGGCUGUGAAGCUAGCAGUACCUCUACGCUUCUGCGGUGUCCAGUUCAGCAACCUCUACGUGGGCACCAAUGGCAUCAUAUCCACCCAGGACUUACCCAGGGAGACUUAAUAUGUCGUUGAUGAUUUUCCUACUGGCUUCCCAGCCAUCGCCCCAUUCCUGGCUGACAUCCACUCGAGUCACAGCAGUGGCCGGAUCCUGUAUGGAGGACACCUCUUGGGCUGGGCUGAGUCUGGCUGCUUGCUACCUGUGCACAGGCUUCCCGCUGACCCGGUCCAGCUUCUCCCCUACCCACUUCUUCCUGGCCACCUGGGAGCAAGUGGGCCCUUAGGAGGAGGACAGGCUUGGGGUUGCGUGGUCUGGAGAGCUGAACACUCUCCAGGCUGUUCUGGCAUCCGAUGAAUGUGAUUCCUAUGUCCUCUUUCUCUAUCCUGCCAAUGGUCUUCAGUUUUUGGAACUCGCCCCAAAGAAUCCUACAGUGUCCAGCUGAAGCUUCCUGCUAAGGUGGGCUUCUGCCAAGGGGAAGCAGAUGACCUGAAGAGAAAAGCCCUGUAUUUCAGCCUGACUAACAGUGAGCAGUCUGUGAAGAAUCUCUUCCCGUGAGUAAUGUGGAGUGUGUGACUGUGCUAUGCACUGAAAGGACAUUAGGAGGGACACUGUCUCUAGUGGCCAGAAACCAUUUGAUAAUAACCUUUGGUGGCUUCUAAGAAAGGCGCUGGUUCAAAACCAAGAGCUAAGCUGGACCUCUGGAGCUUCAGGCUCUCCAAGAUGUAAAAGAUUCUUUCUUUUUCCUGCACUAUCUGUCAGGCAUAGAAACCAGAACCAGCAGUGAUUAUAUGUUUUUGCAGAACUACUGGGGCUUGCUGUGAAAAACAUUGUUCUUGGGGCUACACAAAAAUAUCCAGUCAUAACUAACUGCCUCAGUGGAAGCUUUUCAAGUUAAUGAUUUCUAGAGAGGAGGCAUCAUGAUUCAGUCUUUCAAACAGGUAUUGUUAAGGAUUAAAUUAUGAGUACUAUAAUGGUGGGGAGGUAG